AGUGAACGCUGGCGGUAGGCCUAACACAUGCAAGUCGAACGGCAGCACAGUAAGAGCUUGCUCUUACGGGUGGCGAGUGGCGGACGGGUGAGGAAUACAUCGGAAUCUACUUUUUCGUGGGGGAUAACGUAGGGAAACUUACGCUAAUACCGCAUACGACAUACGGGAGAAAGCAGGGGAUCUUCGGACCUUGCGCGAUUCAAUGAGCCGAUGUCGGAUUAGCUAGUUGGCGGGGUAAAGGCCCACCAAGGCGACGAUCCGUAGCUGGUCUGUGAGAAUGAUCGGCCGCACUGGAAGUGAGACAGGGUCCAGACUCCUAAGGGAGGCACCAGUCGGGAAUAUUGGUCAAUGGGCGCAAACCUGAUCCAGCCAUACCGAGUGAGUGAAGAAGGCCUUCGGGUUGUAAAGCCCUUCUGUUGGGAAAGAAAAGCAGCAGGUUAAUACCCAGCUGUUCUGACGGUACCCAGUGAAUAAGCACCGGCUAACUUCGUG
rnacentral:rRNA from 1 species